UACGGGGGGGGCAAGCGUUGUUCGGAAUCACUGGGCGUAAAGGGAGCGUAGGCGGCGUGGUAAGUCAGAUGUGAAAUCCCGGGGCUCAACCCCGGAACUGCAUCCGAUACUGCCGUGCUUGAGGGUUGGAGAGGUAGCUGGAAUUAUCGGUGUAGCAGUGAAAUGCGUGGAUAUCGAUAGGAACACUCGUGGCGAAGGCGAGCUACUGGACAACAUCUGACGCUGAGGCUCGAAGGCUAGGGGAGCAAAAGGG
rnacentral:rRNA from 1 species